AAAGCGUCCGUAGCUGGCCUUGCAAGUCCGUCGGGAAAUCCACCCGCUCAACGGGUGGGCGUCCGGCGGAAACUGUGAGGCUUGGGACCGGGAGGGCUUGAAGGGUACGUCCGGGGUAGGAGUGAAAUCCCGUAAUCCUGGACGGACCGCCGAUGGGGAAAACCACUUCAAGAGAACGGAUCCGACAGUGAGGGGACGAAAGCUAGGGUCUCGAACCGGAUUAGAUACCCGGGUAGUCCUAGCUGUAAACGAUGCCUGUUAGGUGUGACUCCCACUACGAGUGGGUGUUGUGCCGUAGGGAAGCCGCUAAACAGGCCGCCUGGGAAGUACGUCUGCAAGGAUGAAACUUAAAGGAAUUGGCGGGGGAGCACUACAACCGGAGGAGCCUGCGGUUUAAUUGGACUCAACGCCGGACAUCUCACCAGCAUCGACUGUGGUAAUGACGGUCAGGUUGAUGACCUUACCCGAGCCACAGAGAGGAGGUGCAUGGCCGCCGUCAGCUCGUACCGUGAGGCGUCCUGUUAAGUCAGGCAACGAGCGAGACCCGCAUCCUUACUUGCCAGCAGCACCGCGAGGUGGCUGGGGACAGUAGGGAGACCGCCGUGGCUAACACGGAGGAAGGAACGGGCAACGGUAGGUCAGUAUGCCCCGAAUAUGCUGGGCAACACGCGGGCUACAAUGGCCGAGACAAUGGGUUCCAACGCCGAGAGGCGACGGUAAUCUCAGAAACUCGGUCGUAGUUGGGAUUGUGGACUGAAACUCGUCCACAUGAAGCUGGAUUCGGUAGUAAUCGCGGUCAGAAGC
rnacentral:rRNA from 1 species